GACGAACGCUGGCGGCGUGCUUAACACAUGCAAGUCGAACGGAAAGGCCCUGCUUUUGUGGGGUGCUCGAGUGGCGAACGGGUGAGAAACACGUGAGUAACCUGCCCUUGACUUUGGGAUAACUUCAGGAAACUGGGGCUAAUACCGGAUAGGAGCUCCUGCUGCAUGGUGGGGGUUGGAAAGUUUCGGCGGUUGGGGAUGGACUCGCGGCUUAUCAGCUUGUUGGUGGGGUAGUGGCUUACCAAGGCUUUGACGGGUAGCCGGCCUGAGAGGGUGACCGGCCACAUUGGGACUGAGAUACGGCCCAGACUCCUACGGGAGGCAGCAGUGGGGAAUAUUGCACAAUGGGCGGAAGCCUGAUGCAGCAGCGCCGCGUGCGGGAUGACGGCCUUCGGGUUGUAAACCGCUUUCGCCUGUGCCGAAGCGUGAGUGACGGUAAUGGGUAAAGAAGCACCGGCUAACUACGUG
rnacentral:rRNA from 1 species